GCUGUUGCGAAUAUAUAUCUCGACGAAAACAACGUACACGUUCUAAUCGUACAUAAGCAAGACAAAAUCAGCACACACAAUAUUUUGAAGCCGUAAAGCUAUAAUAAAGUUCUUCUACUAUUCUUAACAGUCCAUGUCAGUUGCUGUUAUAUUGUCCAAAUGUUUGUGUAUAUUAAUUUCUGCUGUACAGCAUGUUUUUUAAUGUUUAAACACUGAUUUUGUUGGAGGUACCAGUCAAUAUAAGCUUAAUUAUAUUGAUAAUUUACAUUUUGAUUCCUGUGAGUGAUUGUGUAGG